UACGUAGGGUGCAAGCGUUGUCCGGAAUUAUUGGGCGUAAAGAGCUCGUAGGCGGUCUGUCGCGUCUGCUGUGAAAACUCAGGGCUUAACCCUGAGCUUGCAGUGGGUACGGGCAGACUAGAGUGCGGUAGGGGAGACUGGAAUUCCUGGUGUAGCGGUGAAAUGCGCAGAUAUCAGGAGGAACACCGGUGGCGAAGGCGGGUCUCUGGGCCGAUACUGACGCUGGAGACGGCGAAAGCGUGGGGAGCAAACAGG
rnacentral:rRNA from 1 species